UCCCUUGCAGUCCAGUGGUUAGGACUUGGAGCUUUCACUUCCAAAAGCCUGGGUUCAAAUCCUGGUCAGGGAA
rfam:TPA: Bos taurus chromosome 19, whole genome shotgun sequence.